UGUGAGCUCGAUGAGUAGGGCGGGACACGUGGUAUCCUGUCUGAAUAUGGGGGGACCAUCCUCCAAGGCUAAAUACUCCUGACUGACCGAUAGUGAACCAGUACCGUGAGGGAAAGGCGAAAAGAACCCCGGCGAGGGGAGUGAAAAAGAACCUGAAACCGUGUACGUACAAGCAGUGGGAGCCUCUUUUAUGGGGUGACUGCGUACCUUUUGUAUAAUGGGUCAGCGACUUAUAUUCUGUAGCAAGGUUAACCGAAUAGGGGAGCCGAAGGGAAACCGAGUCUUAACUGGGCGUUAAGUUGCAGGGUAUAGACCCGAAACCCGGUGAUCUAGCCAUGGGCAGGUUGAAGGUUGGGUAACACUAACUGGAGGACCGAACCGACUAAUGUUGAAAAAUUAGCGGAUGACUUGUGGCUGGGGGUGAAAGGCCAAUCAAACCGGGAGAUAGCUGGUUCUCCCCGAAAGCUAUUUAGGUAGCGCCUCGUGAAUUCAUCUCCGGGGGUAGAGCACUGUUUCGGCAAGGGGGUCAUCCCGACUUACCAACCCGAUGCAAACUGCGAAUACCGGAGAAUGUUAUCACGGGAGACACACGGCGGGUGCUAACGUCCGUCGUGAAGAGGGAAACAACCCAGACCGCCAGCUAAGGUCCCAAAGUCAUGGUUAAGUGGGAAACGAUGUGGGAAGGCCCAGACAGCCAGGAUGUUGGCUUAGAAGCAGCCAUCAUUUAAAGAAAGCGUAAUAGCUCACUGGUCGAGUCGGCCUGCGCGGAAGAUGUAACGGGGCUAAACCAUGCACCGAAGCUGCGGCAGCGACACUGUGUGUUGUUGGGUAGGGGAGCGUUCUGUAAGCCUGUGAAGGUGUACUGUGAGGUAUGCUGGAGGUAUCAGAAGUGCGAAUGCUGACAUAAGUAACGAUAAAGCGGGUGAAAAGCCCGCUCGCCGGAAGACCAAGGGUUCCUGUCCAACGUUAAUCGGGGCAGGGUGAGUCGACCCCUAAGGCGAGGCCGAAAGGCGUAGUCGAUGGGAAACAGGUUAAUAUUCCUGUACUUGGUGUUACUGCGAAGGGGGGACGGAGAAGGCUAUGUUGGCCGGGCGACGGUUGUCCCGGUUUAAGCGUGUAGGCUGGUUUUCCAGGCAAAUCCGGAAAAUCAAGGCUGAGGCGUGAUGACGAGGCACUACGGUGCUGAAGCAACAAAUGCCCUGCUUCCAGGAAAAGCCUCUAAGCAUCAGGUAACAUCAAAUCGUACCCCAAACCGACACAGGUGGUCAGGUAGAGAAUACCAAGGCGCUUGAGAGAACUCGGGUGAAGGAACUAGGCAAAAUGGUGCCGUAACUUCGGGAGAAGGCACGCUGAUAUGUAGGUGAAGCGACUUGCUCGUGGAGCUGAAAUCAGUCGAAGAUACCAGCUGGCUGCAACUGUUUAUUAAAAACACAGCACUGUGCAAACACGAAAGUGGACGUAUACGGUGUGACGCCUGCCCGGUGCCGGAAGGUUAAUUGAUGGGGUCAGCGCAAGCGAAGCUCUUGAUCGAAGCCCCGGUAAACGGCGGCCGUAACUAUAACGGUCCUAAGGUAGCGAAAUUCCUUGUCGGGUAAGUUCCGACCUGCACGAAUGGCGUAAUGAUGGCCAGGCUGUCUCCACCCGAGACUCAGUGAAAUUGAACUCGCUGUGAAGAUGCAGUGUACCCGCGGCAAGACGGAAAGACCCCGUGAACCUUUACUAUAGCUUGACACUGAACAUUGAGCCUUGAUGUGUAGGAUAGGUGGGAGGCUUUGAAGUGUGGACGCCAGUCUGCAUGGAGCCGACCUUGAAAUACCACCCUUUAAUGUUUGAUGUUCUAACGUGGACCCGUGAUCCGGGUUGCGGACAGUGUCUGGUGGGUAGUUUGACUGGGGCGGUCUCCUCCUAAAGAGUAACGGAGGAGCACGAAGGUUGGCUAAUCCUGGUCGGACAUCAGGAGGUUAGUGCAAUGGCAUAAGCCAGCUUGACUGCGAGCGUGACGGCGCGAGCAGGUGCGAAAGCAGGUCAUAGUGAUCCGGUGGUUCUGAAUGGAAGGGCCAUCGCUCAACGGAUAAAAGGUACUCCGGGGAUAACAGGCUGAUACCGCCCAAGAGUUCAUAUCGACGGCGGUGUUUGGCACCUCGAUGUCGGCUCAUCACAUCCUGGGGCUGAAGUAGGUCCCAAGGGUAUGGCUGUUCGCCAUUUAAAGUGGUACGCGAGCUGGGUUUAGAACGUCGUGAGACAGUUCGGUCCCUAUCUGCCGUGGGCGCUGGAGAACUGAGGGGGGCUGCUCCUAGUACGAGAGGACCGGAGUGGACGCAUCACUGGUGUUCGGGUUGUCAUGCCAAUGGCACUGCCCGGUAGCUAAAUGCGGAAGAGAUAAGUGCUGAAAGCAUCUAAGCACGAAACUUGCCCCGAGAUGAGUUCUCCCUGA
rnacentral:rRNA from 1 species